UACGUGGGUGGCAAGCGUUGUCCGGAAUUACUGGGCGUAAAGCGCGCGCAGGCGGUUCUUUAAGUUUGCGGUGAAAGCCCGGGGCUCAACCCCGGGUCUGCCGUGGAUACUGCAAGGCUUGAGUACUGUAGAGGCAGGUAGAAUAUCGGGUGUAGCGGUGGAAUGCGUAGAGAUCCGAUAGAAGACCGGUGGCGAAGGCGGCCUGCUGGGCAGUAACUGACACUGAGGCGCGACAGCGUGGGGAGCAAACAGG
rnacentral:rRNA from 1 species